rnacentral:rRNA from 1 species
AGAGUUUGAUCCUGGCUCAGAACGAACGCUGGCGGCAGGCCUAAUACAUGCAAGUCGAGCGCGCCCUUCGGGGUGAGCGGCGGACGGGUGAGUAACGCGUGGGAAUAUGCCCUUCUCUAAGGAAUAGCCUCUGGAAACGGAGAGUAAUACCUUAUACGCCCUUUGGGGGAAAGAUUUAUCGGAGAAGGAUUAGCCCGCGUUAGAUUAGGUAGUUGGUGGGGUAAUGGCCUACCAAGCCUACGAUCUAUAGCUGGUUUGAGAGGAUGAUCAGCCACACUGGGACUGAGACACGGCCCAGACUCCUACGGGAGGCAGCAGUGGGGAAUAUUGGACAAUGGGGGAAACCCUGAUCCAGCAAUGCCGCGUGUGUGAUGAAGGCCUUAGGGUUGUAAAGCACUUUCACUGGUGAAGAUGAUGACG